GCCACUAAUUAUAUACUCUUAUUUUCAUUUACACAUGUGCACCACAUUAGUUAGUAGUUAGACAGUUAGUGGAGGUCACACAUACAUGACUCUUAUAUAUACUUGUACAGUACAUUAGAAAUCAGAUUGGGAAAUACAAUUUUCAACAUUCUACAAAAUUCUCUCUCUACAAUUUCAACAUGGUAUCGGAGCUUGGGGGUGAUCCGGCUCAAAAUUCAAUCCCAAUCUUAUCUGGUUGUUUCUAAUUUUGAUUUCAAUAUAGUAGUGAAAUCGUUACUGAAUUCUGGUUCAUACAAUUUCAAUUCUGAAUUUUUCUUCGCAAAUUUCUUAUGAGAUUUCUAGGGUUUGUUUCCUUCAUCUUCUGCUUGAUUUACCACUGAAAUGGCAGUACCAGCAAAAAUUGAUCCUAAUUAUCAUUAUUAUCUUCAUGCAUCUGAUUCGCCUGGGUUAGCUUUGGUCUCACCUCCAUUUGAUGGAUCUGGAUAUGGAGCUGGGAGGAAAUCUAUUUUGAUUGCUCUGUCAGCCAAAAACAAACUCUAUUUUAUUGAUGGAAGCUUGAGCAGUCCAAAGGAUGAUUCAACUGAUUUGAAGUAUUUGAUCCGAUGCAAUGAUAUGGUAUUUUCUUGGGCCCUGAAUUCCUUGGCCAACGAGAUCAGACCUAGUGUAAUUUAUUCAAAAUCAGUUAGAAUUCUAUGGACACAACUAGAAGAGAGGUAUGGACAAUCGAAUCUAGCUCAAUCUUUUGAAUUACGAAAACAGCUCUUAGAAAUAGCUCAAGGUUCAAACAAUAUUGCCACUUACUUUAACAAAAUCAAGGCUAUAUGUGAUGAGAUAGAGUUAUGUGAUGCUAGAACUGUGUGUGUUUGUGUGGACAGUAAAUGUGGUGCGCUUGAAAAGAAUUAUGCCCUUGAAGAAAGGCAGAAAUUAGUGCAUUUCUUAAUGGGACUAAAUGAGACAUACACUGGGGUAAGAGGUAACAUCAUGAUGAUGCAACCUUCACCAACAAUUGGCAGAGCCUAUUACUUGUUGCUUCAAGAGAGAGACAAAGAGGAAAUCAAUCAAUGGGGCACUAUCCUAGUGAUUCUAGUUCCUUUGUUGCCACAACACAGAAAUUCAAUCAAUCAUAUGGAAAAGUUAACAGGUUUAGUGAACAAUCUGAAACUUCUUCUGGUGUAUGUGAUUCCCAAGCUGGGAAUUCCUUUGGUGGAUAAGGAAAUAGGAAUAACCAGGAACACAGAAAAAGGCUAUUCUAUAAUUACUCCAAAAAUCCAGGUCACAACAUUAAGAAAUGCUUUAAAAUUCAUGGCUAUCCUCAACAACAAAAUUACAGAAACAAUAACAGGCAAAUAAGUCCACAAAAUUCUAUUCAAGGACAUGCAGUGUUCUCAGAUGAAGGUGUAGGACAAUUUCACAACAAUGAAACAAAAGCUACAAUUGGUACAUCUCUGCCUGCUCCUAUCAUUUUUUCUAAAAAAUACUAAGAGUCAUUUUUGGUUCAUUGACUCUGGAGCCUCUGAACACAUGACUUUCGACUUUAGUAUUCUCAAAAACAUCAAAAUUCUUUCUACUCACAUGAGUGUAACUCUUCCUAAUUCUCAAAGAGUAAAGUAGCACAAGCAGAACAAGUUACUGUACACCCUAAGUUGACCUUACACAAUGUUCUGUUAGUUCCAGAUUUUAGGUUCAAUCUAAUGUUUGUUCACAGAUUAUUCACACAAUUCAAAUCUAUUCUUACCUUUGCUGAUUCUUUCUGUUUCUUGCAGGGCCUUUCCUUGAGGAGGCCUCUGGUUCUUGGUGAUGUCAAAGCUGGACUAUAUCUCCUUUACUCCACACAUUACUUUCUUGAUUCCCUGUACGUAGAAAAUAAAACUAAAUCAGUCAUUCCAUCUCCCGUUGUAAAUACAUCCAAUGUUUCACAUUCUAUGAAUAGUUCUGUGAUUUCUUGUGACAGAUUAUGGCAUGUAAGACUUGGGCAUUUACGUAUUUCUUCUAUGAAGCAUAUCCCUGGUUGCAUCCAAUCUAAUUCUACACAGGAUGGUUUCCCUUGUACUAUAUGCCCUAUGGCCAGACAACUCAAAUUGUCUUUUCCUAAUAGUACCACUUCUACCACCCAUAUUUUUGAGCUUAUUCACAUAGACACUUUGGGACCCUAUAAAACACCUACACAUGAUGGUUUUAAGUAUUUCCUUACUAUUGUUUAUGACUAUAGUAGAGGUACUUGGACAUAUUUGCUUAGUACCAAGAGUAAUGCUUUCACCAUACUUCAAUCUUUUCUUUCUAUGGUUGAAAGAUAAUUUGAUACCAUAGUGAAGAUCAUAAGGUCUGACAAUGCUUUUGAAUUAGGGAGCAGUAUUGCUGCCACCACUUAUUUUGCCUCUAAAGGCAUUUUACACCAAACAUCAUGUGUUGGUAUUCCUCAACAAAAUGGCAUUGUUCAACAAAAACACAAACAUUUAUUGGAAACCUGUAGAGCCCUUCUUUUUCCUUCUAAAGUUCUUUAGCCUUUUGGGGAGAAUGUAUGCUAACAUCUACUUUUCUCAUAAAUAGGUUUCCCUCUAAGUUGCUUCACUAUGAACACCCUUGAGAUUUUAUUUCAUAAACCUCUCACUUACAGUCUACUCAAAUGUUUUGGGUGUCUUUGUUUUGCUUCUACUCUACCACAUCAUAGAGGCAAAUUGGAUCCUAGGGCAACUGCUUGUGUGAAGAAGGGCUAUAAAUUGCUAGACCUCUACACCAGGAACAUCUUUAUUUCCAAAAAUGUCAUCUUUCAUGAAUCCAUUUUUUCAUUUUAUGAUUUAACCACUACAUCCCACUCUCUUCUAUUUCCUAGAGACUUUCCUCCUCAUUUUUCUAUACCUAUGCCAUCAUAUUUUGGUCAUUCAGAUCCUCCAAGAGUCUUCUUCUGUACCUCCUGUUUCACCUUCUUCUACUAUACCACCUAGUCCUACACCUAUUCCUUCUUCUAUUCUUUUAUCCUCUUCUUCACAGUCUUUUUAUUCUUCUCUUCCCCUUCAUGAUCAUUCUCUUUCUCCACCACAGCCACCACCUCCUAUUGAAAAUUUUUUGCGCAGGUCUUUAAGGGAUCAUAAAACACCUGCUUACCUAGGUGAUUAUAUUUGUGGUGCAGUUCAUCUAACUGAUGUCUCCACCCCUUGUUUUAUGUCUCCUCUUUCUCCUAUGCAGUUUUCUUUUGCUGCACUAUCUUCUUCUAACCAAAAGUUGGUCACUUCCCUUCCCCUCAUCCAAGAGCCUUCCUCAUAUUCCAAGGCAGCCAUGCAUCCAGGUUGGCAAGAAGCUAUCGCCAAGGAAAUUGAUGCUUUAGUCACCAAUGAGACCUGGGAAGUAGUUCCUCUACCACAAGGUCGAAUGGCACUACCUAAUAAGUGGGUUUACAAGGUGAAACUCAAGUUUGAUGGUAGCUUGGAGAGAUUUAAAGCACGUCUGGUUAUUCGAGGGGAUAUACAACGAGAGGGGAUUGAUUUUACAGAGACUUUUUCUCCCGUGGACAAAAUUACCACCAUCCGGUGUAUUUUAGCCUUGGAAAUGAAAAAGAAAUGGGGAUUGUAUCAAUUAGAUGCUAAUAACGCUUUUCUACACGGUGAUUUGCAUGAGGAAGUAUAUAUGAAUUUCCCUGCUGGGUUAGUUCCUCAUGCUCCUAACAUGGUUUGUCGACUUAAGAAGUCUUUAUAUGGGCUUCGUCAGACCUCAAGACAGUGGUAUGCUAGAUUGACAUCUGCUUUGAAUUUCAAGGGUUUCACUCAUUCUUUGAAUGAUUACUCUCUUUUCUAUAAGAGGGUUGGUUCAUCUAUUUCUUUGGUGGAUGUUUAUGUUGAUGACAUACUUCUUAUGGGUAAUGACAUGUAUCAAUUAAUGAGCUUAAGCAUUUCUUGGAUUCUGAAUUCAAGAUUAAAGAUUCGGGGUACUUAUCUUACUUCUUAGGCAUGGAGGUUCUUCGUCUUGAUUCUGGUUUGACCUUGAGUCAAGGAAAAAUCACAAUGGAGCUGCUCUCUGAAUUUAAUUGUUGUGAUUUAUCUCCUGCCAAUUCUCCUUUGGAUCCUUCGUGCAAUAUCUUUUCUAAUAAGGGUGAUCCUUUGUCUGAUCCUACGUUAUAUCGUCGUUUAUUGGGCAAAUUGAAUUUUUUGACUCACACGCGCCUAGAUCUAUUUUUUUCUGUCCAACAUCUGAGUCAAUUCAUGCAAACCCCUCGUGUUCCUCAUUUGGAUGCUGCUAAACAUUGUCUUCGUUAUCUUCUUCAUGACCCUGGUUUGAGGCUUUUUAUAUAUGAUUCUCCCUCAUUUGAGAUGAUUGCUUUCUGCGAUUCUGACUGGGGUUCUUGACUUGAUUCUCGACGUUCCAUUAGUGGUUUCUUCAUCAGUCUCGGUGGCUGCCCUGUCUCGUGGAAGUCGCAGAAACAACCCCCUAUUUCUUUGUCUUCCGCGGAAGCUGAGUAUCGAUCUAUGCGCCGCGUUGUGGCUGAGCUCACUUGGCUUGUCCGUUUACUUGAUGAUCUCUCCAUUCCGCCACACUUACUAGUUGCUCUUCACUCUGAUAGUCAGGCAGCAAUCCAUAUCGCCAAAAACCCUGUUUUUCAUGAGCGCACCAAACACGUUGAGCUUGAUUGUCAUUUCGUACGUCAACGGUUUCAGGCUGGUCUUAUCUCCUUGUCUUUUGUUCCUUCUCACUCACAGCUGGCUGAUCUUUUCACUAAGCUCCUUUCUGGACCUCUGCAUUGGGAUUUACUUGGCAAGUUGGGAGUUCUUUCUCCCCCUCCCAAC
rnacentral:lncRNA from 1 species